AUGACCUGUUACAGUGGAGCCAAAUGUGGGGCGGGCGCAGACAUGGACCAGUCACCGCUGGGAAGCGUGCUCGGACACCUGGCCCAGAUGGCGGAACGGCAGGGCCAACUCCAGCAGACGCAGAGCGAGGUGCUCACAGAGCUGGCCCAGUCCUUGGCGGCCCAGUCCUUGGCGGCCGAUCGGGCCGUCCUACGGGAGCUCCUUGCCUCCGGAGGACGCGGCGAGGGACCCAGGGGAGCGGGACCCGUGGCCAACAUCCACGUCCCAAAGAUGGGGGAGGCGGAUGAUGCGGAGGCCUUCCUGGAGAAUUUUCAGGCGGUGGCCGAGGUCUCCGGUUGGCCUCGUCAGGAGUGGGCUCACCGUCUCCUGCCGCUCCUGACGGGGGAGGCCCAGCUUGCAAACCACAGUCUGCCGGCCGGGGCCCAGCAGGACUAUGGGACCAUCGCCAGGGCCAUCCAGGACCGGCUUGGCCUCUACCCGGAAGAACAUCGUCGCCGGUUCCGGAUGCUGGCGUUCACCGAGGGGGACCGUCCUUUCGCCUUUGCCCAGCAGCUGCGGGACCAGGCGAGGUGGUGUCUGGUUCCGGACCAGAACUCGGCAGAGAACGUGGUGGAGCAGGUGGCCCUGGAGAGGUUUGUUGAGGGGCUUCCGGCUAGGACCUCCGCCUGGGUCCGGUGCCACCGGCCCGAAAGCCUCUCCGCUGCGGUCGACCUGGCAGAGAGCCACCUGCAGCCACCACCAACGGCUCAGCGACCACCAACACCGGUCCCACGCACCAAGCCCGGCACCGAGGGCGAGGGGGUCCCCGUUCCGGAACGGGCACAUGAAUCACCUCCCACCCCCACUCCGCAGACGGGCGAUCAGACGGCAGGGGAGGGGUGUUGGAGGUGCGGGCGGCCUGGUCACUUCCGGCGGGAUUGCCCUCUAAUAGAGGUGGGCCAGGUCGUCCGUGUCACCGGUGCCCCGUCUCCUCCCCACGGCCCCGGCGAGGCGUCCCGUAUCCCUGUGAGGAUGGACACAGGGGGGUACGCACCAGGCGCUGUUGGACUCAGGUUGCAUGCAGACCAUGAUCCACCAGCGUCUGGUGCUGUCCGAGGCAUUGGUGGAGGCGUCAAGCGUUUUGGUGAGGUGUAUACACGGGGAUGUGCACAAGUAUCCUUUGGUCCCUAUCGAAAUUCGUUGUGGGGGGAAAAAGCAUAG
rnacentral:lncRNA from 1 species